CUGAGACACGAGAGAAACCUUUCACUAAGGCACCAGUUGAUUCUACCUGUCUGGGCAGUUUAUUGUGAAGGUGGUGUGAUGGAAGUGAUAAAGGAUUAUUUCUCCGCUGUUGCACCAUACAAGAUCAAGUCGAUGGAGUUAAGGUUGUGAUGCGUGGUGAGAGUGGUGAAGCCUUUGUGGGUGGUGGUGGUGGUGUGGGUGUAGCGAGCGAUGAGGUGGCCAGUGGCCACACGUGACGGCAGGGAGCCGAAGGACUACACAACAGAGACGGUGGAAUUCACAACCAGUCCUCUCGCCUUGAAGACUGACAGACUGAAAUGUAAUGGAGUGUGUUUUGUGGAGUUUAGAGGAGGUGAUGGAAGGUCUUCAGUCAGCAACUUACUUACUUACUCCAACAUAUAAACCAGAUUGUGCGCCUCCGAGGUGAACGUCUGACUGGUCAAGAACGCCUCCAAACAGGUAAAGUACUUAUGACAAUAUAUAAUGUCUAUAUGCAAGUAUUUAUGAAUGUUAUGUUUUAAAGUUUUUUGUAUUCCAGGUUUGUUUGUGUGGCUGACUGGACCUACUACAAGGUGCUUCUUGGAGGUAAUAAAGAUACAUCAGUGAUGGUGAGUCCGUCACAUUACCAGCGGUUGUGGAUUUCUCAAUUCAACCUUUAUAUUGCAGACUCCACAUAAGGCGA